UCCCCUCCCCUCGCGCCGCCGCCGCCGCCCCCCGCAACCACGGCGGUCUGCACGAGCAAAGUCGGUAACGGCCCCCUCCCCUGCUCUCACCCCCUUCUCGCCUCUGGAACUCCAAGAGGAGCGAAGCAGCCGGUCUGCCUCGCCUAGUUCUUGGUCCGUAGGUUGUGCGAGCUGUAUGAUCGUAUAUGCUACCAGUAGUGGGAUAGCCAGGGUAGAAUUGCUGUUGCUUCCGGACGAGUUCGUGUAGUCGCGCAUCGCAAAAACUGAUUACCGGCGGAUCUCAUCGCCGCCGCGUAUGAGACGAUGCCACAGCGACCCGCCCCGCCGUCGCCGCUCUGUAUUGGGCUCGCUUCUGCGGCCCGGCAGGCGAUGGCGGCGUACAUUGCGCAGUGGCCUCACGGUUCAGUGCGUUCAUCAGGGAUUUCGCUGAGUAUUAAAGUUGGUACCUUGUUAGCGCUUUGUUCCGAUUAUUGUCCUGCACAACUUGGCCGCUGUCAUCUAGCAUUACAGCAGGUGAUUGCUGUCAUUGUCUGCUAAGAAAUUGUGUCUGCAAAAACAUUGUAUGCAUCUAAGAUAAUUUGGUGUCCUAAGCAACUAGCGUCGUUGGCUAGGUUUAUAUGUUGGUUCUUUUCUUCUCGUUGUAGUUUCUGUUGUUGGAAAUUAUCUUUCUUUCCCGUUUCUGCUGCUGUGUCUGGGAGCAGCAUUAUUGAUGCAGAUGAGGAGACACUAAGUUUUAUGGGUAAUUUGCGUCUGAGGCGUCUCUGUGAUGUCACACCCUUUUCACCUUGGAGAUCUGAUGCAUCCUUGAUAAUAUCCUCAAUUCUUUGUUUUUUUUCUAUGUUUGAUUCGUUUGGGCGAGAUGAGGAUAUAAUUACAUUGUUGAUGGAUGAUAUGAUGUCCAAUGAAUCAUGUAUUAGCUCUAUCUGAUCGUACCCAUACUGGUUUUAUUCCAUGUCUUCAAGAAGGUAAAACCUGUUGCUUUUUUUUUCUUAUUUACUUUCUUGAGCAGCAUCUUUUUUAAAGGAGUUAUCGAUGCAGAUGAUGAGACACGAGUUUAUGGGUAAUUUGCGUCUGAGGCAUUUCUGUGAUGUCACACUCUUUUUCACCUUGGAGAUCUGAUGCAUCCCUCUAACCCAUGUCUUUUGUGUUCUUUCUACUUAUAUUUCAAAGAUCUUUUGGUUUUGGGUUUUAAUUGGCGAAAGAUGAGAUGAUGAAUGAUAUUAAUUUCCCUAUUGGUUUGAUUGGCUGACAUGAUGGCCUAAAUACUGAACCGAAUCUGGUCAUCCUGCCUUCUCUUGUGAAGAUAACUGAUUUUUUUUAACCUUUUUUAGUUCCAAAGAUAGGGUGGUGUUUGCUGUAGAAUGGUACCAAAAAUGAUUGUUGCUCAGUUUUAGAAACAAACAAUGUUAGAUCAAUUCAAAUAGAAACUUUGUUUUUGAAUUAAAAUGGGCAUAGCCGAUGCAUAUGAGGACACAUGAGUUUAUGAGUAAUUUGCAUCUGAGGCAUUUCUUUGAUGUCACACUCUUUUUCACCUUGGAGAUCUGAUGCAUCUGCCCUCACUGUUGUACUUUUCUUUGCUGGUACUUUUCUUUAAAAAUAUAUUUAAUUAUGGGUUUAGUAGGCGAGAGAUGAGAUGAUGAAUGAGAUUAAUUUCCCUAUUGGUUUGAUUGGCUGAUAUGAUGGCCUCAAUACUGAACCGAAUCUGAUCAUCCCCUUGCCUCCAAUAAGUCAAAUCUGUUUUUGCUUGCCUUGCUUUAUCAUUGUUACCACUGAUUUGUUCCAUGGAGAGUAAUUUCAUCUAAUCAUUUUCUAAUUUAAUCAGAGGAUGUGAGAUGAUGAAUGAUUAAUUUCCCUAUUGGUUUGAUUGGCUGAUAUGAUGGCCUCAAUACUGAACCGAGUCUGAUCCUCAUCCCUGGUUUGAUAAGAAAAAGUAUUGGUUAGAUUUUUUCAUUUUUGUUUCAUUUAUUUCUAUGUCAGUUAGAUCUUCUUAUGCUCAACCUGAAAUUCCAGUUUACUUUCUGUGCUGUUAUAGUUUUUUUCUUUUGCUUUUUUAUCAAGUGUAAUUCAAGUCCUUGUGGUUCUUCUUCUUUAGAGCUGAACAUUUGUGGUGCAAUGAUUAUAAAACAUUCCUCGUACUGAUGGGAUGUCCACGUGAACGACUCCUAUACACCCAUAGAAUCUGAGCACCAAACAAACAACACUUUUGUAUCUUGUCCUGAUGGAUCUUGUUUUUGUCUGUUUAUUUGUCCUGAGGUUUGUUUUGCAUUUGGACUUUCAGAUUUGUCACCUUCAGAGCUAAUAUUUGAUUGAUAUUAGUUGUGUUGUCCUGCUCCAUGACACCAACCUCGUUCAUAAUUCAAUGCUUUAUAUAUUGUGUGAUUUUAUGCUGGUGGUUGUAAUUGUGCAGUGAUUAUAAAACAUUCCUCGUACUGAUGGGAGAUCCACAUGAAUGACUCCUAUACACCCAUAGAAUCUGAGCACCAGUUAACCAUUUGUUCCUGUUUUAAGUCUGACUAGCAGCUGUUAGCUUCUUGCCUUGCAGAACAUUCUGUUUUACCUCUCUAAAAUGCUUUCACCUGUUGAGAUUCUUCAGCUGGUGAUUGGUUUCCUUCUGCAAUUGUUUUGUUUGUUGUUGGCCAAGGAUUAAACUAAAUUAAUAGACAAGCAUAUGUCUGAAUUUUCUUCAUGUUGAACAAUCUAAUCUUCUCUAUGAGGCCAUUAUCUUGCCCAUUUAUGUAUAUGUAGUUUUAUUUGAUGUGUUUUGUGGUUGAAUGAUGCUGAUGAUGAUUAGUGUGAACCUUUCUCAAUGAAAUCACUCAUGAUUACAUAACCUACUGCCUUCCUUCUGAGGCAUCAUUAUUCCUGGAAUCCUUCUUCUGUUUCCUUUGAUUUCUUUUGGUUUCUCUUUUGCAUUGCUUGUUUGCCUAGGUCGAAUGAUGAUUACAAGUGCAUAGUUCAUAUGAUCAAAUCAUGAUUACUUGAACAAAAAUAGUCUUUCGCUCCUAUCUGAUGACCUUUCAUGCUCACCCUUUGUUAUGAGAAUCAAACCUAGUUUUUAUCUUUUUUGAAUUGCAUUUUAUAUGGACAAUCCUACAUUAAUAUCAAACUUAAAGGACGGUGAAGAUUGAUAUUUGGUCUCGUUUGUCGUAACUGGCAUUUAUUUGCCUUGACGACCAUCCUGCUAUAUCACCACCCAUAUUCUGAGUCCUUACAACAUUUACUAUCUUGGUUUGACAUGCUAAUCCUUUUUUGGUGUUUGUCCAAUGAUUAAACUAAGUACUUGAGUAGCAGUUUCCAUUUGACUAUAAAUAUAGUGAAGUUUUUAUUUGCUUGGAUUUGAGCAGUGAUGAGACAAUUGAAUAAAUAUGAUCAUAUAGGUGUGAUUAUCAAUCGCUUCGUUCUUACUGAGCUCCCAUCUUCGUUUCAGUUCUUUUAAUUGUUUUAGACUUUGAUUGGUAUUGUAUAACAUAUACUUGGUGCUAGCAGUGAUAUUCCAAACCUUUGAGGAUGAUGAUUACAUUAGUCGCUCCACUCUUAGGGUCCACAGUGCUGGAUCUAUGCUGAUUGACAUACUUAUGAAUCUGACUCUGUAGUUAUUUCUUCCAAUUGGUUAUGUUUUGUUUACAUACUUGCUGGUUCUUUCCUUUGGUGAUGGCAGUGACGAUUUGCAAAUAUUCAAGCUCAACAGACCAAAUCACAGGUUUUCUCUUAGGAGUUAAUUUGUAUGCCGAAUAUCCCGCUGAACUGAGCCAUCUGAUACCUGAUUUUAUAAUCUGUUGUUCAUUGUUCUUUUCUCCUGUCCCCUCUUUUCUCUGCUUUUUUUUUCUUGAGAAAGGAUAUUGCUUAUUUCUUUAUCUACUCCCUCUGUAAACUAAUAUAAGAGUAUUUAGAUCACUAUUUUAGUGAUCUAAACGCUCUUAUAUUAGUUUACGGAGGGAGUAUAAUUUUGUUUGAUUUUUUUUUCUUUGGCGGACAUAGUUGCGAUGAGGAUAACACGCUCCCUCUUCUGAAAGCAUUGAUGACAUUGCUGGCAGAAUCGAACCAAUUAAAUAUUGCCACCACUGAGCAACUAUGCACCUUGUAACAAUUUUUCUUUUUGCUGUUAUUGGUUCUUUGCAUCAUUUAACUUCCAGUUUACUAUAUUUGUUUGGAUUGUGAUGAGGUAUUGAGGCGUUAUCCAACACAGGAUUUGAGCGUUUUCUUUGUAUGAUGUCAUCUUUGCAUCUGUGUGUCCGUGCUUAUUUUCCCUGGGACUGAGUAGGCAUUUUUGCUCUGAUGGUAUACCUUGACUUUUUUUAUACAGCUAGAAUGCAAUUGAUGCCUAUGAUGAUUAGCUAUGUUGGAAUUACCGUCAGAUAAAUAAUGACGAUAUUUUUUGCGGCUUUCUGAGGUUAAAUAUUGCUCAAGUCCUUUGCCUCUUAUGUUUAUACAACAGCCACUAAUAAUCACUGAAGUGUUUUAUUGGGUUGUUGCCUUCACUGCUUGGUUCUUUCCGUAGCAAAUUAAGAUCAGUUGAAGGCUUGCCAAAGUGUUUUUUUGCUAAUGCUGCUACAUCCAUCCGUUGAAUCUCUCAAGACUGAAACCAUCAUUUUGUUGCCCCCUGAAAGAAUGACAACGAAAGAAGGGCAGACUGGAUAUGUAUAUACUUGUGAUUAGUUGUUCGAAGACCAUGGAUCAGAUAUCCUGCUGUUUGUUUACUUGUUGUAUGAUUUCUGUGCUGGGUUGCCCAACGUGUUUUGUCUGUUUUCUGUACAUUUUGCUGUGUGCAUGAAGACUAUCAGAGGAUCCCUUUGUAUUUUGUUCAACAUUUGUAAUGGAUUUGAGUGCUGUUUGGCUCAGCAUAUUGCUCCUGGAGCUCUAUUUUUCUGAAGCCUAAAUUAUUUUUGGAAGCAAAUGCGAACUUAUCACUGGCCA